rnacentral:rRNA from 1 species
GACGAACGCUGGCGGCGUGCUUAACACAUGCAAGUCGAACGGUAAGGCCCUUCGGGGUACACGAGUGGCGAACGGGUGAGUAACACGUGGGUGAUCUGCCCUGCACUUCGGGAUAAGCCUGGGAAACUGGGUCUAAUACCGGAUAGGACCCUGGGAUGCAUGUCCUGGGGUGGAAAGCUUUUGCGGUGUGGGAUGGGCCCGCGGCCUAUCAGCUUGUUGGUGGGGUGAUGGCCUACCAAGGGGACGACGGGUAGCCGGCCUGAGAGGGUGACCGGCCACACGGGGACUGGGAUACGGCCCAGACUCCUAGGGGGGGCGGCAGUGGGGAAUAUUGCACAAUGGGCGCAAGCCUGAUGCAGCGACGCCGCGUGAGGGAUGACGGCCUUCGGGUUGUAAACCUCUUUCAGCACCGACGAAGCGCAAGUGACGGUAGGUGCAGAAGAAGGACCGGCCAACUACGUGCCAGCAGCCGCCGUAA